GACGAACGCUGGCGGCGUGCUUAACACAUGCAAGUCGAACGAAGUGGCGAACGGGUGAGUAACGCGUAAUCAACCUGCCCUUCAGAGGGGGACAACAGUUGGAAACGACUGCUAAUACCGCAUACUGAAGGUGGGGUGUGCGUCUGAUUAGCUAGUUGGAGGGGUAACGGCCCACCAAGGCGAUGAUCAGUAGCCGGUCUGAGAGGAGGAACGGCCACAUAGGGCCUGAGACACGGCCCAGACGCCUACGGGGGGCAGCAGUGGAGAAUAUUGCACCAUGGGGGAAACCCGGAUGCAGCAACGCCGCGUGCGGGAUGACGGCCUUCGGGUUGUAAACCGCUUUCAGCCAUGACGCGGUAGUGGCAGAAGAAGCACCGGCUAACUACGUGCCAGCAGCCGCGGUAAUUC
rnacentral:rRNA from 1 species